rnacentral:tRNA from 1 species
GGGCAGAUGGCGGAACUGGCAGACGCGUACGGCUUAGGACCGUAUGCCGAAAGGCGUGUGGGUUCAAGUCCCUCUCUGCCCA